rnacentral:tRNA from 6 species
GGAAGUUUGGGUGAGUGGCUGAAACCACCAGUUUGCUAAACUGACGUACUCGCAAGGGUACCGGGGGUUCGAAUCCCCCAGCUUCCG